GCCCUCGUCGUCUAAUGGUUAGGACGCCAGACUUCUAAAUCUCCAGAUCUAUCUGGCGGCUGCGGGUUCAAGUCCCGCCGAGGGUA
rnacentral:tRNA from 1 species